GCCUGGGUGGUGUAGUGGCUAGCAUUACGGCCUGUCACGUCGUCGACCCGGGUUCGAAUCCCGGCCCAGGCG
rnacentral:tRNA from 1 species